GAUGAACGCUGGCGGCGUGCCUAACACAUGCAAGUCGAGCGGAGAUAAGAAGAGUACUUGUACAAAUUUUAUCUUAGCGGCGGACGGGUGAGUAACACGUGAGUAACCUGCCUUUCACUGGGGAAUAACAUCGAGAAAUCGGUGCUAAUACCGCAUAACGUCACGAGAUCGCAUGGUUUUGUGACCAAAGGAGAAAUCCGGUGACAGAUGGACUCGCGUCCGAUUAGGUAGUUGGUGAGGUAAUGGCCCACCAAGCCUACGAUCGGUAGCCGAACUGAGAGGUUGAUCGGCCACAUUGGGACUGAGACACGGCCCAGACUCCUACGGGAGGCAGCAGUGGGGAAUAUUGGGCAAUGGGGGAAACCUUGACCCAGCAACGCCGCGUGAAGGAAGAAGGUCUUCGGAUUGUAAACUUCUUUGAUCAGGGACGAACAAAAUGACGGUACCUGAAGAACAAGCCACGGCUAACUACGUG
rnacentral:rRNA from 1 species